rnacentral:miRNA from 1 species
AUAUACGGGGGAGACUCUUAU